ACACAUGCAGUCGAGCGAAAAGCCCUCGGGGGUGAGUACAGCGGCGAACGGGUGAGUAUCACGUGGGCAACCUGCCCCGGAGACCGGGAUAACACGUCCGAAAGGAGUGCUAAUACCGGAUGACGUGCCACCUGCCAAGUGGGCGUCACCAAAGGUAGCUUCGGCCUCCGCUCCGGGAGGGGCCCGCGCCGCAUUAGCUUGUUGGUGAGGUAACGGCUCACCAAGGCGACGAUGCGUAGCUGGUCUGAGAGGACGAUCAGCCACACUGGGACUGAGACACGGCCCAGACUCCUACGGGAGGCAGCAGUGGGGAAUCUUGCGCAAUGGGCGAAAGCCUGACGCAGCAACGCCGCGUGAGCGAAGACGGCCUUCGGGUUGUAAAGCUCUGUCAGGAGGGACGAAGCCACUCGGGUGAAUAGCCCAGAGGGUGACGGUACCUCCAGAGGAAGCCCCGGCUAACUACGUGCCAGCAGCCGCGGUAAUACGUAGGGGGCGAGCGUUGUCCGGAAUUAUUGGGCGUAAAGCGCGUGUAGGCGGCUUGCCAAGUCCGAUGUGAAAUCUCGUGGCUCAACCGCGAAACUGCAUUGGAAACUGGCUUGCUAGAGUCCGGAAGAGGAGAAUGGAAUUCCUGGUGUAGCGGUGAAAUGCGCAGAUAUCAGGAAGAACACCGGUGGCGAAGGCGGUUCUCUGGGACGGUACUGACGCUGAGACGCGAAAGCGUGGGGAGCGAACAGGAUUAGAUACCCUGGUAGUCCACGCUGUAAACGAUGGGCACUAGGUGUGGGGGGUGUCGACUCCCUCCGUGCCGCAGCUAACGCAUUAAGUGCCCCGCCUGGGGAGUACGGCCGCAAGGCUUAAACUCAAAGGAAUUGACGGGGGCCCGCACAGCCAGCGGAGCAUGUGGUUUAAUUCGAACGCAACGCGAAGAAACUUUACUGGGUU
rnacentral:rRNA from 1 species